GUCUUAUCACUUUGAAAGACCGCUUCCCAUAUGAUCACUGAAGUGAAGCAACGUCGAGUCUGGUCAGUGCUUAGAUGGGUGACAGCUUGGGAAUACCAGGUGCUGUAAG